UCAGUUCCAUAACUCCGCGGAACAAAAUGAUUUGAUUUAUGCUUAAACAUCGUUGGAAAAUAUUUCUAAAUUGAGUGCUGUGUUGCCUGAGUUUGUUAAAAAGAAAUUUGUGGAUAAAGUGUGUGAGCCUGGCUUGCUAGUGCAGAAGCCAGCAAUCUCCCAAAAGCGACACGUCAUCAAUCUCCAUAAUACAACAGCAACACUAUAUAACCUUCCAAGAAAGAAAGUAACAUCGAUUCAUAAACAUUACUCUUUAGCAACAUUAAUUUUCAUGUUCCUGAGGUGGAGACAUCCAAGGAAAAACCAAUUGCUGGAGUGACGGGAUUAACAGGAGGCAAAGAACCUACAGCUGCAGGAUUGGCUUAAAUUAUGAAACUUUUCUAUGUUAAGAAAAUUUCAAUGAACGGCAGCAAAGGUUCGUAUUCGUCUGCCUUGGUUAAAUCGUGGUAGCAAAGACGAAGUCUUUAAAGAGAGAAUUCACCAAGUACCAUGUAAUAGAGAGAAGGAACAUGGACCAGUGGUCUGGGGGAAGUGGUACAAGAUUAAUAUAUAAUGUAGUUAAUCAGUGAAUAUAUAUUUUCGAUUAUUAUAUAGAAUAUUACACAGUACAUUAUAAAGAUAAACUUAAAAUUUUAAUUAUUGUCCAUUGUUUCAAACUGUAUAUUUUGACGAAAUAAAUUGAAUAUAUUUUUUUAU